UCGGGAAUAUUGGACAAUGGGCGCAAGCCUGAUCCAGCCAUGCCGCGUGCAGGAAGAAGCAUCUAUGGUGUGUAACUGCUUUUGUACGGGAAGAAACACUCCUUCGUGAAGGAGCUUGACGGUACCGUAAGAAUAAGGAUCGGCUAACUCCGUGCCAGCAGCCGCGGUAAUACGGAGGAUCCAAGCGUUAUCCGGAAUCAUUGGGUUUAAAGGGUCCGUAGGCGGUUUAGUAAGUCAGUAGUGAAAGCCCAUCGCUCAACGAUGGAACGGCCAUUGAUACUGCUAGACUUGAAUUACAAGGAAGUAACUAGAAUAUGUAGUGUAGCGGUGAAAUGCAUAGAUCUUACAUGGAAUACCAAUUGCGAAGGCAGCUUACUACACAAUCAUUGACACUGAGGCACGAAAGCGUGGGGAUCAAACA
rnacentral:rRNA from 1 species